ACCGCCGUAGGACCUAAGAUUGAUGCUGGAGAGGUUCUUCAGACCCUGCGUUCUGACGGCUCCGCUGGCACCACCCAGACGGUUUCGGGUUUCAGGAUGAAACCUCCAUCGAUAUCUCUAGUUCCUUCAAGUCUGCUGAAAUGUCACCUUCCCUGCGGCAAGCAUAUUUUAGGAUGGGGCAUGACCUCGGGAGGCCGUCCA
rnacentral:lncRNA from 1 species